UACAGAGGGUGCAAGCGUUGUUCGGAAUUAUUGGGCGUAAAGCGCGUGUAGGCGGCAGUGCAAGUCGGGUGUGAAAGCCCUCAGCUCAACUGAGGAAGUGCGCCCGAAACUGCAUUGCUUGAGUACCGGAGAGGAUGGUGGAAUUCCCGAAGUAGAGGUGAAAUUCGUAGAUAUCGGGAGGAACACCGGUGGCGAAGGCGACCAUCUGGACGGAUACUGACGCUGAGACGCGAAAGCGUGGGGAGCAAAUGGG
rnacentral:rRNA from 1 species